CGCCCUCUUUUAAUAUCAACUCCCAUCAACCAACAACUCCUUCUCAUAUAAUCUCUUUUUAAGCUAGCAUUCCUCUCAUUUUCUUCAUUGGCGCAUCGGCAAUCAAACGAAAAGGGAGAUUCAUUGUGCUGCCAGAGGUAAGCCUAGGCUUAAAUCCCUCCAUUUCCUUCAUAAGUUCAGCCUGCAAUUGUUAAGCAAAUAAGCAAUUUAUUUCAGUUUCUAUCCAUUGAGCUCCAGAGCAACCAACCAAAAACACAAGAACAUUCAAGGUAUUUUUACAUCGGUAUGCUUUCUUCUUUGUUACACGCCUCAUUUCCCAUGAAGCAUAUGAUCAGUUUAUUUGAAAAGCAUAGUAGGAGACGAAUGGUAUAAUCUUUUAUCCAUAUAGAAUCAACAACCCAUGACUUUCACACAAGGCAAAUACAAUGAGAAUUUCUGACGACACAUAGCAAAACCAUGAUGCCUAGUUUCAAUCUAUAGCAUAAACGACAAUAGGAGCCAAAGGUUUAAUUACGGUACUGCACUGAAACUAGAAAAAAAAAACCAUAAUCUUGCUGCUUUUGCAUUUAAAAAAUACUAAAGAGUUAAGGGCCGAACCUCAACUGCUGGAACGAAGAAGGAAAACGGCGAACUCUCGUCGUCUUGCCUGCAUCGGAAAGAAGGGCUGACAGCCCGACGGGGACGACGACGACGGUCGGGACAGGGCGAACUCGCCCAACCUCAUCAGGGCCCCGAACAGCAGCUGCCCGGCGACGAGCUGAGACUUGUGCGCAGCAGCAGCGUCCAGGGGCAGCAGCGACGCGGUGAGAGGCGUAGGCCUUCUUACUCCAGUCGCCGGAGGAGAGAAUCGCCGGAGGCAGCUGACGCCGAUCAGAUCAGAGCCGAGCAGGGGCUCGAGUGCAGCAACCGCGGACGCUCGACAGCGGCGUCCUUCCCUUUUCUGAAAUCUAGGGCUCGACGUCGGAGAGGGAUAGGAGGACGGGAGUUGGACGGCGCCACUCCCAGACGACGACCGCUCGCCGGAUUCCAGACGGAGGUGCGACAGCGGCGAUGAUUUCCAGAGUUAGGGCUCGGCUAGGUUCUGCGAUGAAGAGAGAGAGCAACGCCGGUGUUUGACGCGUCGCCGAUCGAAGCUGAUCGGAGCAGAUGACGGCUGAACGGCCGGAGUAGGCGCAGCCGACCAGAAUUUGGCAGAGAGAGAGAGAGAUCGGCUUUGAAGAAGAAGGAAGAGCGGCCCCCUUGAGAAUGAGAGAGAGAUCGAGAGUUUAGAAAGAGAGAGAGAUUGGGCUAUGUUUUGGGCUUACCCUAUUUUUUUUUAAUCAUUUGGGCUUUCUUUUAUUUAAUUGUUGGGCCUAUUUUCUUAUGUUAUUUGGGCCGAUGCAUUUUAUGUUGGGCUUGAGUUGUUCUGUUGGGCCGAAAAUGUAGAAGGAAAGUGAAUGGGCUUAAGUCAGUUUGGGCUUGAGUUUUGGGGCUAUUUUUGUUGGGCUCGUUUAAAUGAUUUUAAUUAGUCUGGACUGCUCUUUUUAUUUAACAUGGACUCAAUUUUAAUUAAUAGUUCAGCCUUCAGUUAUAUAAAUUUUGGGCCGAUUUUAAUUACUGUAUGGGCCUCUGAUUUUAAUUUAAAUUGGGCUGAUUUUAGUUACUUAUGGGCCUCUGAUUUUAAUUUAAUUUGGGCCUAAUUUAUUUUUUUAAGUUGGGCCGAAAAUUUUGAGCUUGUGUUUUAAAGAUUUGGGCUUCUUUUUAUUUAAGUUGGGCCGAAUUUUUAGCUUGUUUUAAGGUAAUUGGGCUUUUCCUUUUAAUUUAUUGUGGGCCGAAUUAUUUUAAGCUGGGCUUGAUUUUAUUUUAAUUGCUUGGGCUUUCACAAAUAAAUUCGAAAUGGGCCAGUCUUUAAUUUAAAUGGCCAUUCCCAUUAUUCUAUUGGCUUGAUUAUUUUAAGAGUUGGCUGAUGACUAUUUUAGAUGGGCUAUUAUUCUAUCCCAUUUAUAUUUCUUGGGCCAGUUUAAUUCAUCAUUUGGGCCGAUUAAAUUGCCUAUUGGACUGAGAUUUAUUCUUUCCAGCCCACAUUAAUUUUAUAUCACUUGGGCUGAAGCUACUUCUUAAGUUAAGCCUUGCAGUAAUUAUUUUGAUGGAGCCCAAUUAUUUAUCAGUGGUAGCCGAUUCUAUUCAGUAAAUGAGCCGCCCAGUUUAUUAAUUAUUGUUUUUGGAUUCAGACUUUAAAGCGACUAUAUUUUAUUUCUUAAAGCCACUGGUUUAUUUAAUUAAUUGGCUACUCUCUUUUGAGCCUAUUAAUUAUUUGUAGGUUACGUAGUAAUAUGUUUCUAUCAAAAGCCCGAUAAUUUCUACAAGGUCACACCUCGUUAAAGCCGAGUUAGUUCUUUAUUUUUUUAUCAGUACAAAGCGAGUUAUUUUACUUAAAUAUUCGAGGAAGGAAGAAUCACAGCUCUAUUCGACCCGUUACGAGAAGUUAUUAAAUCUAUUAACAGGAUAAUAGUAGAUGCCCGAUAUCGUCGAAAUUAGUUCAUGCAUACAGAUUCAUGCAUAGUUAAAUUAGCUUUCUCAUUAUUGAGAAUUUUCCUCGACAAUGUCUUAUUUUAAUUCUCGUGAUUAAGGUCAAGCGCGAGAGUAAGAACUAUUCAAGAGUCACAGUACCUUAGCA
rnacentral:lncRNA from 1 species